rnacentral:tRNA from 1 species
AGGAUAGUAGUUAAGUAUAACAUUUGGGUUGCAUUCAAAAAGUAUUGAUUUAUUCAAUCUAUCUU